GAUCCUACGGGACGCAGCAGUGGGGAAUAUUGCGCAAUGGGGGAAACCCUGAUGCAGCGACGCCGCGUGAGUGAAGAAGUAUUUCGGUAUGUAAAGCUCUAUCAGCAGGGAAGAAAAUGACGGUACCUGACUAAGAAGCCCCGGCUAACUACGUGCCAGCAGCCGCGGUAAUACGUAGGGGGCAAGCGUUAUCCGGAUUUACUGGGUGUAAAGGGAGCGUAGACGGUGAUGCAAGUCAGAAGUGAAAGCCCGCGGCUCAACUGCGGGACUGCUUUUGAGACUGUAUGACCGGAGUGCAGGAGAGG
rnacentral:rRNA from 1 species